GAUGAACGCUGGCUACAGGCUUAACACAUGCAAGUCGAGGGGUAACAAGAGGAAAGCUUGCUUUUCUUGUUGACGACCGGCGCACGGGUGAGUAACGCGUAUCCAACCUGCCUAUAACUAGGGAAUAACCUUGCGAAAGUAAGACUAAUACCCUAUGAUUUCCUUUGAUGACAUCAGAUUAGGAAUAAAGAUUUAUCGGUUAUAGAUGGGGAUGCGUCUGAUUAGUUUGGUGGCGGGGUAACGGCCCACCAAGGCAACGAUCAGUAGGGGUUCUGAGAGGAAGGUCCCCCACAUUGGAACUGAGACACGGUCCAAACUCCUACGGGAGGCAGCAGUGAGGAAUAUUGGUCAAUGGGCGGAAGCCUGAACCAGCCAGGUAGCGUGCAGGAUGACGGCCCUAUGGGUUGUAAACUGCUUUUAUACAGGAAUAAAGUUAGCCACGUGUGGUUAUUUGUAGGUACUGUAUGAAUAAGGACCGGCUAAUUCCGCGCCAGCCGCCGCCGUAAGAC
rnacentral:rRNA from 1 species